UGUGACUAAAGUUACUAAAUGGACACAGGAAAAUUUACAAAACCUAAAUUAACCCCCACCAAGUUCAGGAGAUCUCCACCGUGUCUCCGCCACGACCACGACCACCGCCAAUUCCAACUUCCACAAAACCCUAACCAAUUUUAGUUACCACUUAUCAUCAACGCUAUCCUCUCAUCUACUCUCCUCCGUAACACAAGUUAAGCGUAUGAUUCAGUUUGAAGCAAGCUAUAAUGAGAUUACUCCGAUCGAUUUUCACUUUCCUCCUCCUCCGGAUGCAGGCGAGGUAAUUCGAAAACAUCUUUGUGGAGACUCUAGACUCUAAGAGAUCUAAAAUCAAAGGGAACUUCAAUGCAGCAACUGGUCGCUACUUCCUCUUACACAAGACCAAGCUACUUACAACGCUCUUUGUUUAAUUCACAUUUUUUGAUGUUUUUCAGCAAAGGCUUCUCAAACAAGGGUUUUUAUUCUCUUUUUAUAUUCUAAUUGUUUGCUAGUUGGGCUAAAUGAACAUAUAUACAUUACCUUUUUGUUAAUGGUUGCUGAUGCAUUCCUAUCCAAAGCCACAAAUAUAAGGUAAUUUGUUGUUUUUUUGCAUUGUGUAUGAUUUGGAGUUAGUUUUGCAAUAAACAAGAUACAGGGUUGCUGCUUAUUUGAUGUAUCAUACAAUAUAUAACCACAACUUUUGACUAAAAUUACAAAAAAUAAUGCAAUGUUUUGGAGUAUAAUUUGGAAGAUGGUCAAUAAGACAAGCUGACCUUGCACAAACAGAGCCACAUAGAAGGAACUGGCAACCUUUGCUUUUAAAGUAAACAAAAACUUUGUUAGCAAGCAGACUCGAUCUCGAAACAGUUGCUUAAAAUUCCACCAUCUAACCAUUAGACCUUUUUUCAUUUUAUUUACAGGUUCACUCCAGAUUUUAUUAAUGGACUCAUUUCAAGUUUUUUAUAUAACCGCUCAAUUAAAAUUUCGAAACUUAGUGGGUUUGGGUGAACCCAGACCAAUAUAUGUAGGUCCACCCCUGCCAUUGAGGAUGGAAAGUUCUUUUGUGAGACUGUAAGCCUGCACUUGAAUCUUGUAACAUCACUAAGGUUAUUCAUGGUUGCAAACAAGAUAGUGAGUUCUUUAACUGAUACAAUUGUCUUAUGACAUUUUCAUUCUUUCUUGGUGUUUGCAGGCCUCUAUUUUCUUAUGAACAUGUGUGAAAAGGGUAGGAUUAUAUGGAGCAUGGUUCUUUACUUCUUUACAACACCAAUGUCCACUUGAUUACUAUGUUUUAUUAACUUAUGUCAGCAACAUGGCUAGAUUUGUCGAGGGUCAUCAAUGUAUUUCAUUAAACUUUUUGGCAGUUUCACUCACUAACGGGUCAAUCUCGUUAUAUUGGUAAGUCAUUAUUAGGACCGUAUCAAAAACGUUUUAAUGAAAAGGGCCUCCAUUUUAGUAUUCGCUAUGGGCCCCCAAAUUGCUUGGGCCAUCCCUGCCGGUUUGUAUUCUGUAAUCAUAUAUUCUUUAUGGUUAAACGUCUACUGAUAUUAUGUUCAGCUUGCUUGCUGGAGUUGUUGAAGUUGAGGACACAUUGAGGUCCCACUAUUAAGUUUGUACACGGAACUCGUAGGGGUGCAAACGAGCCGAGCUACUCGAAAAAGCUCGAACGAGCCGAGUUUAAACGAGCUCGAGUCUGAUGCCUGAGUCUAAGAAACAAGCUUCUUUAGUAAAGGAGCCUGAGCUUCGCUUAUCGUGCCGGCUCGCGAGCGUAUUGUUUAUAUAAGUUUUUAUUACUAUAUUAAAUAUAAAUUUAAAUAAUAAUAAUAAUAAAGUCAUGAAAAAAUAACUAAAUUGUAUAUGACGUAAUAUUAUAAUUAACAUAAAUUAACUAACAAAUAGAAAAUGAGCUGAGCUCGAGCUUGAAAAAAUACCUACGAGCCGAGCUCGAGCUUUAAAAAUAAAGCUCGAAUUAAGCCGAGCUCGAAUUCUCAUAAGUUAAACAAGCUCGAGCUUGAGCUUAGUUGAGCUCGGGCUUGGCUCGGCUCGUUUGCACCCUAGCCGAAAGGAAGGUAUAUAAAGCAGUAUUCUAGUAGGCAUAUUUUUAUAAGAUUGUACUUGUGUUUAAUGUAUUCUCAACCAGGAUUCAAACGUGUCGCUUAAUGAAGACGUCUUCUUGAGAAGAGCUAUGCUCACCCAAAUUACAAAAAAAAAGGUGGUCAAAAUGAGCGAAACAGAGUAUACAAGCAUAUAUGGUCGUGCGAAGCACCUCAACGUGUCCUAAAAACGCCUUUCUUCUUGGAAUGGAGAAAUCUAGCAAAUCAUGAAAAGGGAGGAAAGUUAUCAGCAGAGGCAAAAGUCAAAUGAUGCCAACAUUCUUUGGUGGAAGUGUGGACUCAUAUUUCUUAUUUGUAUUCUUGCCUUGUAUCUUUUUUCUUACAAUAGUUGUAUAGAUAUGUGUUCCAAUUAGAUAGUAUUUAACUUCUUUAAAAUUUACUCUCAGAACUUAUAUAGUUGUAUAUUUUUCCUUAAAAGUGAACGGAACUCUGGCUUAUAUUUUGAAUAUGUCAAAGUGUUCCAAUG